GACGAACGCUGGCGGCGUGCCUAAUACAUGCAAGUUGAGCGAUGAAGCUUGGUGCUUGCCCCAAUUUGAAGAGCAGCGAACGGGUGAGUAACGCGUGGGGAAUCUGCCUUUGAGCGGGGGACAACAUUUGGAAACGAAUGCUAAUACCGCAUAACAACUUUAAACAUAAGUUUUAAGUUUGAAAGAUGCAAUUGCAUCACUCAAAGAUGAUCCCGCGUUGUAUUAGCUAGUUGGUGAGGUAAAGGCUCACCAAGGCGAUGAUACAUAGCCGACCUGAGAGGGUGAUCGGCCACAUUGGGACUGAGACACGGCCCAAACGCCUACGGGAGGCAGCAGUAGGGAAUCUUCGGCAAUGGACGAAAGUCUGACCGAGCAACGCCGCGUGAGUGAAGAAGGGUUUCGGAUCGUAAAACUCUGUUGGUAGAGAAGAACGUUGGUGAGAGUGGAAAGCUCAUCAAGUGACGGUAACUACCCAGAAAGGGACGGCUAACUACGUG
rnacentral:rRNA from 1 species